rnacentral:rRNA from 1 species
GACGUAGGAGGCGAGCGUUAUCCGGAUUCACUGGGCGUAAAGCGCAUGUAGGCGGUUGCACAAGUCCGUUGUUAAAGCCCCUGGCUCAACUGGGGGAGGUCAAUGGAGACUGUGCGACUUGAGGGCAAUAGAGGCACGUGGAACUCCCGGUGUAGCGGUGGAAUGCGUAGAGAUCGGGAAGAACACCAGUGGCGAAGGCGGCUCACUGGCCCGUAACUGACGCUGAGGUGCGAAAGCGUGGGGAGCAAACAGG